AGCAAUAAGGAGCAUGGUUGAUACAUC
rnacentral:piRNA from 1 species